CACUAGCCCUGAUGGGAAGGGAAAUCCUUUUGUGGCGGGGUUCGCCACAAAAGAUUGGAAGGAACAGCAGGAAAUAGC
rnacentral:sRNA from 1 species